rnacentral:rRNA from 1 species
AUUGAACGCUGGCGGAAUGCUUUACACAUGCAAGUCGAACGGCAGCACGGGGCAACCUGGUGGCGAGUGGCGAACGGGUGAGUAAUACAUCGGAACGUGCCCAAUCGUGGGGGAUAACGUAGCGAAAGUUACGCUAAUACCGCAUACGAUCUACGGAUGAAAGCGGGGGAUCGCAAGACCUCGCGCGAAUGGAGCGGCCGAUGUCAGAUUAGGUAGUUGGUGGGGUAAAGGCUCACCAAGCCGACGAUCUGUAGCUGGUCUGAGAGGACGACCAGCCACACUGGGACUGAGACACGGCCCAGACUCCUACGGGAGGCAGCAGUGGGGAAUUUUGGACAAUGGGCGCAAGCCUGAUCCAGCCAUUCCGCGUGCAGGAUGAAGGCCUUCGGGUUGUAAACUGCUUUGUUACGGAACGAAACGGUUCUCUCUAAUACAGGGGCUAAUGACGGUACCGUAAGAAUAAGACACCGGCUAACUAACGUGCCAGCAGCCGCGGUAA